rnacentral:rRNA from 1 species
UACGGAGGGUGCAAGCGUUGUUCGGAAUUACUGGGCGUAAAGCGCGUGUAGGUGGCCUCUUAAGUCUGAUGUGAAAGCCCGGGGCUCACCCCUGGAAGUGCACUGGAAACUAUGAGGCUUGAGUACCGGAGAGGAGGGUGGAAUUCCUGGUGUAGCGGUGAAAUGCGUAGAUAUCAGGAGGAACACCGGUGGCGAAGGCGGCCCUCUGGACGGAUACUGACACUGAGACGCGAAAGCGUGGGGAGCAAACAGG